AAAGAAGCUGGCUGGUAGGACGGUUGAGAGGAUUGAGAGGAUUGCUGUUCUGGAACGGGAGGUGGCAGAUCUUACAACAGAAUUUGAAAACAAUGUCAAGGAAAUAAAUUACUUGGCUAGACAAAUGGCUGCAUUCCAACCAGAACAACUUCCGUCCAAACAAAAACACCACUCAGUUUCUGAAAAGGAUCAACAUUUUGAGGGCAUUCUGUCUGAAUUGCGGCCAGACAGCAAGGUGCCGAUACAACCAACACCAUUUGUCCCAGGCAACAAAAUAAAGCAUGCAUGGGCCCAGCCUGGGAAAAAGGGAGUUUUUCGUCGCAAAAUUCCACUGCGGUUUGAUUAGCUAUAGUUUUCUGCGAAGAGGGAAUUUGACCAAUCAAAUCGAAGACUCUACGCAGAAAAUGCUCACCACCACGUUUCACAACUUCCACCCAAUCUGUAUAAAAUUCUCGACCAAUAAAAUGGCGUAAAUUCUUACUCUGCUUAUCCUAUUAUCGGACUUUCAUCAGACAGACAGUCAAUAUACAGGUUUGUAGAACCAGACCAGUAUCCAAGCUGGUGGACGCAGACCAAUUUAUUAGUUGGUGGAUGUAGACCGAUAUACAAGUUGGUGGAUGUAGACCAAUAUACAAGUUGGUGGAAGUAGACCAAUAUAUACAGGUUGGUGGAAGUAGACUAAUAUACAAGUUGGUAGAAAUAGACCAAUACACAAGUUGGUAGACGUGAACUAAUAUACAAGUUGGUGGAUGUAGACCAAUAUACAAGUUGGUGGAUGUAGACCAAUAUACAAGUUGGUGAACCAAUAUACAAGUUGGUGGAUGUAGACCAAUAUACAAGUUGGUGGAUGUAGACCAAUA